GAUGAACGCUGGCGGCGUGCCUAAUACAUGCAAGUCGAGCGAACGGACGAGAAGCUUGCUUCUCUGUUGUUAGCGGCGGACGGGUGAGUAACACGUGGAUAACCUACCUAUAAGACUGGGAUAACUUCGGGAAACCGGAGCUAAUACCGGAUAAUAUUUUGAACCGCAUGGUUCAAAAGUGAAAGACGGUCUUGCUGUCACUUAUAGAUGGAUCCGCGCUGCAUUAGCUAGUUGGUAAGGUAACGGCUUACCAAGGCAACGAUGCAUAGCCGACCUGAGAGGGUGAUCGGCCACACUGGAACUGAGACGCGGUCCAGACUCCUACGAGAGGCAGCAGUAGGGAAUCUUCCGCAGUGGGCGAAAGCCUGACGGAGCAACGCCGCGUGAGUGAUGAAGGUCUUCGGAUCGUAAAACUCUGUUAUUAGGGAAGAACAUAUGUGUAAGUAACUGUGCACAUCUUGACGGUACCUAAUCAGAAAGCCACGGCUAACUACGUG
rnacentral:rRNA from 1 species